rnacentral:tRNA from 1 species
UCUACUGUGGCAGAAAAAAUGCAAUGAACUUAAAAUUCAUUCAUAAAUAUUUAUAUUUCUUUAGAA